UGUCACGCCCCAAAAUCCCAUCGGGCCGGACUGGCACCCGAAGCCGAGAAGGCCCGGGAGAACCCGUUCAAAUACCUGUACUUUCACUUACAUGUCACCAAAAAAAAUUGGACAGCACUUCGUUGCAUAUAGAAAGGUCUAAUUACCUGUAUCAGCACAACACGCACAAAUAUAUAUAUAUAAUACUUGGCCGUCGGGGCCACCACAUAUACAAAUAUAACGUUACUAUAUAAACUUCCAUGACUUUACCCUUCCUUAUGUCUACAAAGCCUCUAGGAUAUACAUGACAUAACUAGGGUCGGGACAAACCCCCGCCCACACGUGACUCAUGUACAAUAACAAAACAUAAGGAACCGACUCGGAAAGCUCCGAAGCAAACUGGAGCUCACCAACAAUAGCUGUAUGACCUGGCUCCUACUUGUGCGGUGUAUGAGUUGAGGUACCUGUGCCUGCAGCAUGAAAUGCAGGUCCCCCGUGAGGGACGUCAGUACGAAAUAUGUACUGAGUAUGUAAAGCUGUAAAUAAUCACAUAUGAUAUAGGAGCUCAAUAGAAAUCAGAAACAAGUGAAUAAGUCGUAAUAGGAGUGGACCACACUUACUAGAACUUGUGACAACCUGUACAUUGUAUUUAUUCAAUCACUUUACCUUCGUUCUUAUCGUCUUUGUAAUCAUUACUGUACUGUACUGUGACCAUUAGGCUGCCUCCAGUACAUAUCAACUGGGAUCGACCCAUGCUAGGCUUAUGCCCCUGGGAUACCACCCAUAAACACAUAAAUAGGGAUCGACCCAUGCUAGGCUUAUGCCCCUGGGAUACCACCCGAUAAGAGAGAACUUCCAUCACUUAGUUCAAUUAAUCUUUGAGAUUGUUAUUUCGGUCGUCACCACAUUUUUAAUACUUUGAAACAAUGAUACAUCAAUAGGAACCAAGUAAUAGACCUUCUAUACAAUAACGAUGUAAUAAGGACUCAUUGGUACAUCAACAAUAUGUUUCAGAAUCAUCAAUAUCACAACAAUGAAAUAAGAGCCUUUUGGUAUAUCAAUGAACAUUUUGACACUUUAUAGGAUGGAAACAACUUCGUUGGUAACGUAGAACAAUACAUGUUUUUGGACAACCUCGGAAUCUUACUUGAUGGAACAUUGGUGUUUUCAUGCCAAAGAACAUUGUUAGAGUAUGCUUUACAUACCUCGUUGUAGAUUCAGAUACCAAUUCAACACAACUUCCCGCCUUUACAAAUCACUUAUCUACAAUGAAAUGUUUGGCAUCUAGUAUUAGCAACCCAACACCACAAUUCUCUUCCAUAAUUCCAUACUACCAAUAUUUGCAAAACAUUCCAAAAACCAACUUGAACAAUAGGUUUAUGUGUGUAUAUGUAUAUAAUCAUCAUCUCAAUACCACAUCAUCAAUACCACAUCAUCACCCCAAAUUCCUUCACAAUUUAACAUAAUCCAACCAUGCACAAGAAUAAUCCAACAUCAUUUCCAAUCAUCUUUCAACAACAAUCAAAUAACAUACUUCUUAUGCUCACAUGCAUAUAUAUAUAUAUAUACAUAUCCAUAUAAAUAACACCAACAUAAUUUACAUCCUUACCAAAAAAAAUGGCCCUUUUGAUUUCGAAGUCCUGUUGGCACAAAUAAGGGGUGCUUCUCGAAGCCCUUGAGACGGUGAACACAACUACGGAAUCAAUUUGGAUUUUCUACGGUUGAAUCACAAGAUAAUUGGAGUUGAACUUAGGCUAGGGUUUCUUAUUCUUCAAUGAUUUGGAUGAUAAAUGGUGGAUAUAAGGCUAAGUAUAUGUAUAUAAUGACCAAUUUUCGUCCAUGAGGUGAUGGAAAAUGACCAUAUUGCCCUUAAAAAUUUAAGUAAAUCCGAAUCUGUCCAUGGUGGACUGUUUUGAUAGGCUAAAGUAAAUCGGCCAUAACUCUUUGCUCCGAUAUCGGAUUUGGGUGAAAUUGGUAUCGUUAGAAAGAUAAUUCAAAGGUAUUUCAUUUAAUAUAAAUUAAUCCACCCAGUUCGUCCUGUACAAGUAGUUAUGAUCGUUUGAAGUUGACCCUAAAAAUCUGUUUUGAGAGGCUGAAGUAAAACGAGUAUAACUCCUUACUCAGAUGUUGGAUUUGGAUGAAACCAAUUUCAUUGGAAAGAAGACUCAAAGAUCUUUCUUUUGAUAUAUGGUAGCUCAACCAGUUCAUUAUAUUGAGGGAGUUAUGAUCGUUCAAAGUUGACCCAAAAAACUGGCAGGCCUCAGUAGUUUCCUGCACAUUUUACUGUUCACAUCCCGGCCACCGUUUUAAAGUUUCGAACGAGCUCGCUUAUAUCCGAAACUUAUCCGUUUUUGGAAAUCUUUAUAUCGUUGGAAAGCUUAUUCAAUAACCUUCGUAUGGAACCAUCGACGGGAAAAUUCCGAUAUAAAUAAAGUCGAUUCCUAUACACCUAUAAUCAAACUAUACACUUGAAACCAUCUCAAAAUAAUCAAUACUCAUACUUAAACUCAUAUAUACCUAACUUAGGAUCAAUACAUAUACCCCAACACAUAUAACAAUGACUAAUGCACGUAAUUAAGUACGGGGUGUUACAUCCUUCCCCCCUUAAGGACAUUCGUCCUCGAAUGUGAAUGUAGUUAUUUAGCCGAAACAAGUUCAAGUCCACCAUUAACAUUCACAUCAUCACAUAAAUACUAUGCAUAUAUAAACAAAAACUUACUUGUUAAUGUUCUAACUCCGUUUCUUGAACUUCCUCUUCAUCUUUGAACAAAUGAGGGUACUUAGAUUUCAUUGCUUCCUCAGCUUCCCAUGUAAUCUCUUCCCUUUGUUGAUUUCUCCAAAGUACCUUUACUGAUGCCAUUUCUUUGUUCCUUAACUUUUUAACUUGGCGAUCUAGAAUAGCAACCGGUACCUCUUCAUAAGUAAGAUCCUCUGUGACCUGUACAUCUUCUAUAGGAGUGAUACGAGAGGGGUCACCUAUGCAUUUUCGAAGCAUUGACACAUGAAACACUGGAUGAACCAUUGAAAGUUCCUGGGGUAGCUCUAAUUCAUAUGCAACUUGUCCGACCCUCUUGGUAAUCUUAUAUGGCCCUAUGUAACGUGGGCUUAGUUUCCCUUUUUUACCAAAUCUCAUAACCCCUUUCAUUGGUGAUACCUUUAAAAAUACCCAAUCUCCAAUAGAGAAUUCCAGCCCUCUUCUCCGAAUAUCUGCAUAUGAUUUAUGACGACUUUGGGCUGUUUUUAGCCGUUGUUGUAUCACCUUGACUUUUUCUAUGGCUUGAUACACAAGAUCCGGUCCGAACAUAAGAGUUUCACCCGCUUCGAACCAUCCUAUUGGUGAUCUACACUUUCUCCCAUAUAAAGCUUCAUAUGGUGCCAUUUUGAUACUUGAAUGAUAGCUAUUAUUGUAGGCAAACUCAAUAAGAGGUAAAUGAUCAUCCCAGCUGCCUUUAAAAUCUAUAACACAUGCUCGUAGCAUAUCUUCAAGUGUUUGAAUGGUGCGCUCUGCUUGUCCAUCCGUCUGAGGGUGAAAAGCUGUACUCAGAUUCACUUGUGUUCCCAAACCCCGUUGGAAAGACUUCCAAAAGUUUGCAGUAAAUUGAGUUCCCCGAUCCGAUAUAAUAGAAGUUGGCACUCCAUGUAAUCGGACUAUUUCUUUAACAUACAGCUUCGAAUAUUCUUCAACUGUGUAAGUGGUCUUAACGGGUAAGAAAUGUGCGGAUUUAGUAAGCCUAUCCACAAUCACCCAUAUAGAAUCAAAUUUUCGAGCUGUACGAGGCAAACCUGUAACAAAAUCCAUGUUGAUCAUGUCCCACUUCCAAAUUGGAAGAUCUAUGCAUUGCAUAUAGCCUCCGGGUUUUUGGUGCUCAACUUUAACUCUUUGACAAUUUGGACAUUCAGCUACAAAUUCUGCAAUGCUCUUCUUCAUGUCAUUCCACCAAUACAUAUCUUUCAAAUCUUGAUACAUUUUGGUUGAUCCUGGAUGAAUGGAAUACCUUGAAAAAUGUGCCUCUGUCAUAAUCUUCUUUCUUAGCCCGUCUAUAUCCGGCACACACAAUCGGUUUUGGCACUGAAGUACUCCUUCUCGCGUAAGCUCAAAUGCCUUGGUCGCACCACUCUGAACGUUCUCCUUAAGAUGUAAUAAAAUAGGAUCUGCAUAUUGCUUCUCUUUCACUUCAGCUACUAAUGAAGAUUCCGCAGCAUUAUGUACGAUAAGCUCUUUAUUCGGAGUUUCAAGAAGGCGAACUCCCAAACUAGCUAACUGGUGAAGAUCUUUAACCAUCCCUUGCCUUUCUAUAGGCGCCAUCAUAGCCUUACGACUUAACGCAUCAGCUACCACAUUUGCUUUCCCUGGAUGGUACAAGAUAUCAACAUCAUAGUCCUUUAAUAGUUCAAGCCAUCUCCGCUGCCUUAAAUUUAGAUCCUUCUGAUUAAAAAUAUAUUGCAAGCUCUUAUGGUCAGUAUAUAUAUCAACGUGAACCCCAUAUAAGUAGUGGCGCCAUAUCUUUAAAGCAAAAAUAACCGCUGCCAGCUCAAGAUCGUGUGUAGGAUAAUUUUUCUCAUGUGGCCGUAAUUGUCUAGAAGCAUAUGCUAUUACCUUACCAUGCUGCAUCAAUACACAUCCUAAACCAAUUCUGGAAGCAUCACAAUACACUGUAUACCCUUCGGUGCCUUCUGGUAGUACCAACACGGGUGUAGAAAUCAACUUGUUCUUUAAAUCUUGAAAACUCUUCUCACAGGCAUCAUUCCAUUGGAAUUUGGAUGCUUUAUGGGUUAGCUUGGUUAAGGGUGCUGAAAUGGAAGAAAAGUCUUUGACAAACCUUCUAUAAUAACCGGCCAACCCAAGAAAACUACGAAUCUCCGUAGGCGUUGUGGGCCUUGGCCAGUUCUUCACAGCCUCUAUCUUUUGAGCAUCAACCUUUAUCCCUUCACUAGAUACAAUAUGACCCAAAAAUGCCACCGACUUUAACCAAAACUCACAUUUAGAGAACUUUGCAUAAAGCUUACAAUCACGAAGAGUCUGCAAUGCCUGUCGUAAGUGAUUGGCAUGGUCCUCUUCUGAUCUAGAAUAAACUAGAAUAUCAUCUAUAAAAACUAUCACAAAUACAUCCAGGAAUGGCUUAAAAACCCUAUUCAUCAAAUCCAUAAAAGCUGCGGGUGCAUUUGUUAGCCCAAAUGACAUAACUAGAAACUCAUAAUGACCAUACCUUGUUCGGAAAGCUGUUUUGGGUAUAUCUUUUUCUUUGACCCUCACUUGGUGGUAACCUGACCUCAAAUCAAUCUUAGAAAAGCACUUGGCGCCCUGUAACUGAUCAAAUAAAUCAUCAAUUCUUGGGAGAGGAUAUUUAUUCUUAAUAGUCACCUUAUUCAAUUGCCGAUAAUCAAUACACAUCCUCAGCGAGCCAUCCUUUUUGCGUACAAAUAACACUGGUGCUCCCCAAGGGGAAAUACUAGGCCUAAUGAACCCCUUUUCUAGCAAAUCUUUCAAUUGCUCUUUCAAUUCUCGUAAUUCUGCUGGGGCCAUUCUAUACGGAGGAAUGGAGAUUGGUUGGGUGCCUGGUAUUACAUCAAUACCAAACUCUACUUCUCGUUCAGGAGGCAAACCUGGAAGAUCUUCAGGAAAUACAUCAGAAAAUUCAUUUACCACCGGAACAGCGUGAAGAGUUGGUGGCUCCGCUUCUGUAUCCCUUACUCUAACUAAAUGAUAUAUAUAUCCCUUGGAAAUCAUUCUUCUCGCCUUAAAAUAAGAAAUAAAUCUACCUCUUGGCACGCUAAUUUCACCUUUCCAUUCAAGGACUGAUUCAUUUGGAAAAUGGAAAUAUACCUUUUUCGUGCAGCAAUCAAUUGUGGCAUAACAAGACGCCAACCAGUCCAUACCCAUUAUAACAUCAAAAUCUACCAUUUCUAACUCCACAAGAUCAGCCAUCGUAUCACGACCACAAACAGUUACUAUGCAGUUUCGAUAAACCCUUCUAGCUAUAAUAGAUUCCCCGACCGGUGUGGACACUUCAAAUGGCUUAACUAACAGUUCGGGUAUUCUUUCGAACUUUCCAGCAACCAAUGGAGUAACAUAAGAUAAUGUAGAACCGGGAUCAAUUAAGGCAUAUAAAUUGAAUGAAAAUAUAGCCAACAUACCCGUAACCACAUCUGGAGAAGCCUCUAAAUUCUGUCGAUCUGCUAGAGCAUACGUACGAUUUUGAGCCCCGCUAGAACUCGUGGCUCCUCUAUCACCUCUAACACGACCCAUUGGCUGUGCACCCCUUCCUGAAUAAGGCAUCGAUGAUGAUGAUGCAACAAAUGACCCCGUAGGUCGUGCCAUACCCCCUAUGUCCCUUCGUGGGCAUUCCCUCAUCAUAUGCCCCGACAUACCGCACCAAAAGCAAACAUUGGUCCCCAGCCGACAUGCGCCCAAAUGAUACCUUCCACAUUUAUUGCAUGGCUCUCGAGGAGGUCUUGAUUGGCUCAUAUUCCCUUGACCUUGGUACCCCACUGUCCGCGAACUCUGACUCUCACUUCUGUGCCCAAAUUGAUUUCCUCUGAACCCUUGGAACUGUGGUGGGGCACUAGCUGUAGAAUAAGAGGAUAAUGGCCUAGGUGGUCUAGCAGAAAACUGUGGUCUGAACCCUCUUUCGAAUGCCAUGAACUGCCCUGUAGAUCUGGCCCUCUUGGAAUAUCCUCUUUCUGAUUCCUGUGUUCUUCUCCUCUGCCUCUGAUCUUCCAUUUUUUGUGCAAAAGCUUGGAUUCUCGCUAUGUCCAUAUCUUUGUUCAAAGCAGCAAUAGUACAAUCUCUAACCAGAUAUGGAUCUAGCCUAUCCACAUAUUGAUGAACUCUGUCAACCAUAGUAGCUACAACAUUAGGAGCAUAUCUCGACAAGGAAUUAAAUCGAAGACUGUACUCCCUCACGCUCAUAUUCCCCUGACGAAGAUUUAAAAACUGAUCUGCACGGGCCUGACGAAUCUCGAAUGGAAGAUAAUGAUCAAGAAAUGCCUCUUUGAACUCCUUCCAAGUAGCUGGGGGUGCAUCAAUACCCCUAGAUCGUUUCCAGUCCUCAUACCAAUAUAUAGCCUCCCCUUUAAAUCUAUACGCCGCUAACUCCACUGUCUCUCUACCCGUUACAUGCAUAACAUCCAAGGCCCUUUGAAUUUGAUCGAUAAAGUCCUGUGGGUCCUCGUUAAGAUCUGAUCCAGUAAAAGUGGGAGGAUCCAUCUUAAGAAAAUCCUGUGUUCGAAGGCUAGCCGCCCUAUCUAUACCACUAGGACCUGCAGUAGGAAUGGCUUGCCCUUGAGCUUGCCCAGCAACUAUACGAGUCAAAAGUUGCACUGCAUUUCUAAGAUCUUGAUCAACAACAUUAAUAGGUGGCUCUGCGGAUAUAGUUCUCCUCCCCCUUAUUUCUUCCGGACUGGAGGAAGUUUCUGAUGCAUGCUCAGCUGGAGCCUCACUUUGAUUAGCUGGUAUAGUGGGUGACUUACUAGUCCCCUCUCCGGCAGCCACAUCUACUUGCUUACCGGUAUUCUUGCUUCUGGUAACCGGCAUCAUUACUAUAAUAAGAGAAACAAACUGAUUCAGUGGUCAACUAUGACUUCAUAUACAAUAUAAGCUCUAUCGCACGAUCUAAGACAUGAAGAAAAGAAACAAUUCCUAAAUGUCCAUAGCCUCCUGUUUAUAGAUGUGGUGCACAACACACCGAUAAACAAGACCCUACGUAGACACGGCUUUGUAGACUCACUAGGACGAACCUCUCUGAUACCACUUUUGUCACGCCCCAAAAUCCCAUCGGGCCGGACUGGCACCCGAAGCCGAGAAGGCCCGGGAGAACCCGUUCAAAUACCUGUACUUUCACUUACAUGUCACCAAAAAAAUUGGACAGCACUUCGUUGCAUAUAGAAAGGUCUAAUUACCUGUAUCAGCACAACACGCACAAAUAUAUAUAUAUAAUACUUGGCCGUCGGGGCCACCACAUAUACAAAUAUAACGUUACUAUAUAAACUUCC
rnacentral:lncRNA from 1 species